GAUGAACGCUGGCGGCGUGCCUAAUACAUGCAAGUCGAGCGAACAGACGAGGAGCUUGCUCCUUCGACGUUAGCGGCGGACGGGUGAGUAACACGUAGGUAACCUACCUAUAAGACUGGGAUAACUUCGGGAAACCGGAGCUAAUACCGGAUAAUAUUUCGAACCGCAUGGUUCGAUAGUGAAAGAUGGCUUUGCUAUCACUUAUAGAUGGACCUGCGCCGUAUUAGCUAGUUGGUAAGGUAACGGCUUACCAAGGCAACGAUACGUAGCCGACCUGAGAGGGUGAUCGGCCACACUGGAACUGAGACACGGUCCAGACUCCUACGGGAGGCAGCAGUAGGGAAUCUUCCGCAAUGGGCGAAGGCCUGACGGAGCAACGCCGCGUGAGUGAUGAAGGUCUUCGGAUCGUAAAACUCUGUUAUUAGGGAAGAACAAACGUGUAAGUAACUGUGCAUGUCUUGACGGUACCUAAUCAGAAAGCCACGGCUAACUACGUG
rnacentral:rRNA from 1 species